AAGAGUGUGCACCUCUUUAAUUACAUCCGACACUUUACUAUCCCCUAGUGUCUGCCUUCAAUUAUGCUGUUUAGGAUUCACGGAAAUGAGAUGAACACAAGAGCUUUUCCCAAAAACUUUUCUAAAAUCUGUUUAAAUUUUUUUCAGAUAGGAUAAUUCUUCAAGUAAAUUUGCAGUAGGGUCGAUAAUUCCGUCGCAGAAUCCGGCGCAAUGAAAAUAUACGGAAAUACCAGGAUAGCGAUAAAUACUGGUUAAAAUUUGACUGAAAUUCUCAUUUUCGAGAAGGAGUUGAAAAUUAAGUGAGAGAGCGUCCGAUCCCAGGAUGUAAUUUCGGUCGGGGUUGUUUCCCUUUGUUUUCUUUUGCCAAGAAACUUCGAUUCUAUUCUCUGACAUAUCGAUUCGAACGAGUGAAUAUAUGCAGCGGUAAAUUGGCACAUGAUUUCUCACCUGUCAGAAGAUUGAUAUUUUUCAAACUGGAUGUUUCCUCUUCUUCGAAUCGAGCUAGGGGUGCUUCGAACUUUAAUUCCGCCAUUUUACCUGCCAUGUCCCUCAUCGUUAACCACCUUUUAAAGUUAAAAAAAAAAAGGAAAGAAUCAACCAAUUCCCAGUGUCUAUCGAUUCACCGGCGAGCCAAAAAACAAACAAACCGUUCGAACCGCAGUCGAGAAAAUCAAUGGUGCGAAACGACAGAGUAACUUGCUUCUCCGGCGUUCGGAGAGCGACUGAAAAAUAACCCGGUGGAGAGCACAAUAAUGGAAGAAGGGGAAGAGAAGGAAGAACCAAACCGCGCAGAUGAUUCGACCGUAUCCAUGACGACUAGAAGGGGAAUCGGAAAAUAAACGAG
rnacentral:misc_RNA from 1 species